UCGGAUAUGGUGUAACGGCUAACAUUGCCGCCUCUCACGUAGUGACGCGGCAGCUCGGGGUUCGAUUCCCCGUACUUAUCCGAA